UACAGAGGUCCCGAGCGUUGUUCGGAUUCACUGGGCGUAAAGGGCGCGUAGGUGGUGGCUUAAGCGUGCGGUGAAAGCUCGGGGCUCAACCCCGAGUCGGCCGUGCGAACUGGGCUCACUGGAGCAUAGUAGAGGCAGGUGGAAUUCCGGGUGUAGCGGUGGAAUGCGUAGAGAUCCGGAAGAACACCGGUGGCGAAGGCGGCCUGCUGGGCUAUGGCUGACACUGAGGCGCGACAGCGUGGGGAGCAAACAGG
rnacentral:rRNA from 1 species